rnacentral:rRNA from 1 species
GAUGAACGCUGGCGGCGUGCUUAACACAUGCAAGUCGAACGAAGCACUUUAUUUGAUUUCCUUCGGGACUGAUUAUUUUGUGACUGAGUGGCGGACGGGUGAGUAACGCGUGGGUAACCUGCCUUGUACAGGGGGAUAACAGUUGGAAACGGCUGCUAAUACCGCAUAAGCGCACAGCAUCGCAUGAUGCAGUGUGAAAAGCUCCGGUGGUAUAAGAUGGACCCGCGUUGGAUUAGCUAGUUGGUGAGGUAACGGCCCACCAAGGCGACGAUCCAUAGCCGACCUGAGAGGGUGACCGGCCACAUUGGGACUGAGACACGGCCCAAACUCCUACGGGAGGCAGCAGUGGGGAAUAUUGCACAAUGGGCGAAAGCCUGAUGCAGCGACGCCGCGUGAGCGAAGAAGUAUUUCGGUAUGUAAAGCUCUAUCAGCAGGGAAGAUAAUGACG